rnacentral:tRNA from 1 species
GGGUCGGUGUCCGAGUGGUUAAAGGAGAUGGACUGUAAAUCCAUUGGCUUAAUAGCCUUCAUAGGUUCAAAUCCUAUCUGACCCA